GUGCCAGCCGCCGCGGUAAUACGGAGGGUGCAAGCGUUGUCCGGAUUUAUUGGGUUUAAAGGGUGCGUAGGCGGCUUAUUAAGUCAGUGGUGAAAGCCAACAGCUCAACUGUUGAACUGCCAUUGAUACUGAUAAGCUUGAGUACAGACGAGGUAGGCGGAAUUGAUGGUGUAGCGGUGAAAUGCAUAGAUACCAUCAAGAACACCGAUUGCGUAGGCAGCUUACUAGGCUGUAACUGACGCUGAGGCACGAAAGCGUGGGGAGCGAACAGGAUUAGAUACCCCAGUAGUCC
rnacentral:rRNA from 1 species